UGGGGAAUAUUGCACAAUGGGCGCAAGCCUGAUGCAGCCAUGCCGCGUGUGUGAAGAAGGCCUUCGGGUUGUAAAGCACUUUCAGCGAGGAGGAAGGUGGUGAGCUUAAUACGCUCAUCAAUUGACGUUACUCGCAGAAGAAGCACCGGCUAACUCCGUGCCAGCAGCCGCGGUAAUACGGAGGGUGCAAGCGUUAAUCGGAAUUACUGGGCGUAAAGCGCACGCAGGCGGUUUGUUAAGUCAGAUGUGAAAUCCCCGGGCUCAACCUGGGAACUGCAUUUGAAACUGGCAAGCUAGAGUCUCGUAGAGGGGGGUAGAAUUCCAGGUGUAGCGGUGAAAUGCGUAGAGAUCUGGAGGAAUACCGGUGGCGAAGGCGGCCCCCUGGACGAAGACUGACGCUCAGGUGCGAAAGCGUGGGGCAGCAAACAGGAUUAGAUACCCUGGUAGUCCACGCUGUAAACGAUGUCGAUUUUGGAGGUUGUGCCCUUGAGGCGUGGCUUCCGGAGCUAACGCGUUAAAUCGACCGCCUGGGGAGUACGGCCGCAAGGUUAAAACUCAAAGGAAUUGAC
rnacentral:rRNA from 1 species